rnacentral:RNase_P_RNA from 1 species
AGAGUCGGCCUGACAGUCGCUCCGCCGCCGGCGGGGAGGAAAGUCCGGGCUCCAUCGGGCGGGAUGCCAGGUAACGCCUGGGAGGCGCGAGCCUACGGAAAGUGCCGCAGAAAAUAUACCGCCCAAGCCGCGCAAGCGGCCGGUAAGGGUGAAAUGGUGCGGUAAGAGCGCACCGCGCCGGUGGUAACACCGGUGGCAGGGCAAACCCCAUCCGGAGCAAGACCAAAUAGGGGAACUGGCCGCAAGGCCACGUGUGGCCCACACGGUUCCCGGGUAGGUCGCUAGAGGUGCGCGGUGACGCGCAUCCCAGAGGAAUGACUGUCCACGACAGAACCCGGCUUAACGGCCGACUCUUUCU